UCGUUCAUACUACAGUGGCCACACCAGAUCCCAUCAGAACUCUGAAGUUAAGCACUGUAAGGCUUGGUUAGUACUGAGGUGGGAGACCGCUCGGGAACACCAGGUGAUGAGUCA
rnacentral:rRNA from 1 species